rnacentral:lncRNA from 1 species
AUGAAGGUGCGCAGGGGUAGGCCGACCCUGAGGGGCUGCGGGAUGGUCGCAGCUCUUCCGUGCAGCCCCGAGAGGGCUGCGGCGGGGUCGCCCACGGCGUCGCUCAGGUGUCUCUGCUGUGAGCGCGGCGGACCGCGCGCCGGCCCGGGGCCGAAUCGGCGGCGGCGGGGUCGGUUGUGCGGCGAGAGACUGGGGGCGGGCCGCCGCCGCUCCUCCCGCCCCGCCGAGGCGCCGCCCAGACCCCCUGCCCCGCCGCCGGCCUCGGCCCCGCCGCCGCCCCUCCUCCGCCCCUCCUCCGCCGGCCGCCCGCCCCCCGCCCCCCGCCCCUGGCCGGCCGGCCCCCUCCUCCUCGCGGGCGGCGCUCGCCGGCUCCCUCUCUUCCCUCUUCCCACACCGCCCUCCGCCGCUCCCUCCCCGAGCGAACGCCGGUCUGGAGAGGAAUCGAGCACCGAGCGCAUCCAUAGCUCUGCCCUCUGCGGCCGCCCGGCCCCGAACUCAUCAGUGCGCUCGGAGCUCGAUUUCCCUAGGCGGCGGCCGCGGCGGCGGAGGCAGAGCGGCGGCAGCAGUGGCGGUGGCGGCGGUGGCGGCUGCUCGGCCAGGACUCCCGGCCCCCGCCAUUUCGGACUGGGAGCGAGCGCGGCGCAGGCACUGAGGGCGGCGGCGGGGGCCAGAGGCUCGGCGGCUCCCAGGUGCGGGAGCGAGGACGAUGGUAUAAACUUCUCCCUCGAGCGCAGGCUGGACCCAUAGUGGUCCUUUCCAGGGUGUAUGGGGACAUACGGGUAAGAGGGCAGGUCACGUUUUGGCAGAGCAUAGGAAAGUGCUUAGAGACCACUGUUUGAGGUUAUUGUGUUUGGAAAAAAUGCAUCUGCAGCCGAGUUCCUGACUGCUCCCCUCCCCCAUGUAUGGGCUGUGACAUUGCUGUGGCCACAAAGGAGGAGGUGGAGGUAGAGAUGGUGGUGGAAGAACAGGUGGCCAACACCCUACAACGUAAAGCCUGUGACUUAGUGAAAAGGAAAAAGUUAAUCCCAGAAGGUCUGUUUUGCUUUGUCAAGUGAAAACACACGUAGAAAACCCGCAGAGCAGAAGCAGGGCUGUUUCCUUGCUAGUGGAGCGUAGACAGCAGUAACUAAAAUCGUACCUGAAGUUUAAUUUGCCGAUUCUUGUCCUUUCCCCCAUCUCUUCCAUGUUACCUUCAUCCUUAUAAAUUUGACGCCCAUCCCAAUAGCACUCACACAAUUUUUUUUUAACUGAUUCAGGAAAGGAGUUAAUUGUAGCAAUUUGCCGGGCAACUGCCUGAAAUACUCUUAGGCAUGUGCCUGCUAUAGUUGAAGUCCUAAGCUAGCCUUUUUCAGUGUUGAUAUCCAUCAAAACAAGAGGCUAAGAACAGAAAGGUAUUUUCUGACUUUUACAUAACAUACAUGUUACAUUCGUAGUGGACAAAAAAUCAUUUACAAAGAAAUUACAAAGGGAAGAAGUCUGUUGUAAUCAUCAUCUCAGAAUCAACUGUAUGAGUGAUGUCACUCUUAGGUGACUAAGGUCUAAAAUGCUGACUCGAACAUGUAAUAGACUAUAGACAUCAAAUAUGGUUGAUAUCAAUACUGUUUACUUUGAGAUUAGCCAUCCACAGGCAUACUUGGUUUUCAGAGACGGUAGAUGAGAUGAUAAUUCAGUUUUAUGACAAAUAAAAUGAAAUUUUUUUUGCUUAACA